rnacentral:rRNA from 1 species
UAAGGGCGCACGGUGGAUGCCUUGGCACUAGAAGCCGAUGAAGGACGUUACUAACGACGAUAUGCUUUGGGGAGCUGUAAGUAAGCUUUGAUCCAGAGAUUUCCGAAUGGGGAAACCCAGCAUGAGUUAUGUCAUGUUAUCGAUAUGUGAAUACAUAGCAUAUCAGAAGGCACACCCGGAGAACUGAAACAUCUUAGUACCCGGAGGAAGAGAAAGAAAAUUCGAUUCCCUUAGUAGCGGCGAGCGAAACGGGAAGAGCCCAAACCAACAAGCUUGCUUGUUGGGGUUGUAGGACACUCUAUACGGAGUUACAAAGGACGACAUUAGACGAAUCAUCUGGAAAGAUGAAUCAAAGAAGGUAAUAAUCCUGUAGUCGAAAAUGUUGUCUCUCUUGAGUGGAUCCUGAGUACGACGGAGCACGUGAAAUUCCGUCGGAAUCUGGGAGGACCAUCUCCUAAGGCUAAAUACUCUCUAGUGACCGAUAGUGAACCAGUACCGUGAGGGAAAGGUGAAAAGCACCCCGGAAGGGGAGUGAAAUAGAACCUGAAACCGUGUGCUUACAAGUAGUCAGAGCCCGUUAAUGGGUGAUGGCGUGCCUUUUGUAGAAUGAACCGGCGAGUUACGAUUUGAUGCAAGGUUAAGCAGUAAAUGUGGAGCCGUAGCGAAAGCGAGUCUGAAUAGGGCGUUUAGUAUUUGGUCGUAGACCCGAAACCAGGUGAUCUACCCUUGGUCAGGUUGAAGUUCAGGUAACACUGAAUGGAGGACCGAACCGACUUACGUUGAAAAGUGAGCGGAUGAACUGAGGGUAGCGGAGAAAUUCCAAUCGAACCUGGAGAUAGCUGGUUCUCUCCGAAAUAGCUUUAGGGCUAGCCUCAAGUGAUGAUUAUUGGAGGUAGAGCACUGUUUGGACGAGGGGCCCCUCUCGGGUUACCGAAUUCAGACAAACUCCGAAUGCCAAUUAAUUUAACUUGGGAGUCAGAACAUGGGUGAUAAGGUCCGU